UAAUAAAAUAAAUAAAAAUAAAUAAAUAAAUAAAAUAAAUGUCACGUGCAUUUAAUGAAUACAGUAAGUCAUCGCUUAACGUCGAUUUUUAACUGAGCUGAUGCUGUUUUCAUACAAUGGCUCCACACAACGUCCUGUUAUCUGGUUACUGCGUCGUCGUUCAAGUGUUACUAGGAAUACUACGUCACAGCGAUUUCCGCGUGUCGCAGUGAAAACCGGCGUGUAGCUUCAGUCUCCACACUCGCUCGCUUCCCUUGGGCCAUCGGUGAACACAAUAAAAGAGAUUCAAUAUUCAUGUACCAGGUACUGUGGAAGUGCAGCCCUGCUUCGAACCCAGGAUACGCAUUGGUAUAUACACACAGUUGUAAGAUUCAACGUGAGCCAACGCUGAACUAAGCUACAACAUAUGACGACCACAGAGAAGAGCCAAUAUUCCUCUUCAGUACGCCAAGCGCGGCAAGGGACAUUCGGUUUCACGACUUUCUACUGCAUGAGAUGCGAAAGAAGAUCGACAGAACAGGACGAGAUGCGUGGGACAUGCAAUUCAUACGGAGGAAAUGGUAAAUGCACGUAUGAUUUCUGCCGGAACCACCAAGAGUUUCCAAAUUGGUUUUCGACCCUCAAAACAACAUACAACAUAACUUGGUCUGGUGAGCAUCAUCAUCCUGAUGAAACAUCAACAUCCGACCGGAAGUGGAUACAAUAUAUACGUCGAUUGUGAAAAUGCAGAGACCAUGAACAAAUUAUGGUUACAUUCUUAUCUGUAAGAUCUUACUGGACCGCUUCAAUGACAACUUUGGAAGGGACUGUAAAGCCUAAGUUAUGUAACUUGGUGCGUGUUGCUACUUAUGAAUGAAGCUCACUACAAAAUGCGCUCUUAUAUUUAUGCAACCCGCAGUCUUUUGCUAGGAACUUCAGCACUAGCGUGAGGCGGAGUAAAUUGUGAAUGCGAAAUAAAAAUCAUAGUUUCACUCAUCAGUUGGAGUACUCGCAUGUGCGUUCAGAACAGUAACACAGGAAUCUCUUACAGCUGUACAACUUGUAACAUGCCGUA